UACGUAGGGUGCGAGCGUUAAUCGGAAUUACUGGGCGUAAAGCGUGCGCAGGCGGUUAUGCAAGACAGAUGUGAAAUCCCCGGGCUCAACCUGGGGACUGCAUUUGUGACUGCAUAGCUAGAGUACGGUAGAGGGGGAUGGAAUUCCGCGUGUAGCAGUGAAAUGCGUAGAUAUGCGGAGGAACACCGAUGGCGAAGGCAAUCCCCUGGACCUGUACUGACGCUCAUGCACGAAAGCGUGGGGAGCAAACAGG
rnacentral:rRNA from 1 species